CCCUUAGACGUUCUGGGCCGCACGCGCGCUACACUGACGAAGGCAACGAGCUUUCCUUUACCGAAAGGUACGGGUAAUCUUUUGAAACUUCGUCGUGCUGGGGAUAGAUCCUUGCAAUUUUUGAUCUUAAACGAGGAAUGCCUAGUAAGCGCAAGUCAUCAACUUGCGUUGAUUACGUCCCUGUCCUUUGUACACACCGCCCGUCGCUACUACCGAUUGAAUGGUUUAGUGAGGCCUUCGGAUCCGCGACUCGUUUGUGGAGAAGUUGGACAAACUCAGUCAUUUAGAGGAAGUAAAAGUCGUAACA
rnacentral:rRNA from 1 species